CUAUACAUGCAGUCGAGCGAACUGAAGGUAGAAGCUUGCUUCUAUGACGUUAGCGGCGGACGGGUGAGUAACACGUGGGCAACCUGCCUGUAAGACUGGGAUAACUUCGGGAAACCGAAGCUAAUACCGGAUAGGAUCUUCUCCUUCAUGGGAGAUGAUUGAAAGAUGGUUUCGGCUAUCACUUACAGAUGGGCCCGCGGUGCAUUAGCUAGUUGGUGAGGUAACGGCUCACCAAGGCAACGAUGCAUAGCCGACCUGAGAGGGUGAUCGGCCACACUGGGACUGAGACACGGCCCAGACUCCUACGGGAGGCAGCAGUAGGGAAUCUUCCGCAAUGGACGAAAGUCUGA
rnacentral:rRNA from 2 species